GGUUCCUACUGCGUGCGUGCUAGUGACCCACAUCACACGCAUGGAAGCGUACGCAUGGAUGCCAGCCAUGCCACGUCUUCAGGCAGUCUGUUUCCAUUAGGUCACAAGCAUGAAGGUGAAAGAAAAAAAACAAUUAUUCCACGUGAACAGGUGAAAGAACAAUCUUCGACCACAAGACUCAACUUGAAUUGUCUUAUGAAUCUGUACUGCUCUCAGUUUUCUUGUACCCAGAUCCUUCAAGGGCACAUGGAAUGGUGGCUGCCGAUGGAAGUGGCGAGACAUCAACCGUGCCCAUCCCAGCUGCACUUGCUUCCUGGGGGUCUGCAUCGCCGCAGCCUAACCUUGAGGGGUGGCAGGGUACGUGCUGUUUCCCAGCUCACUCUCAUUCAACAAUUAAGAUACAACUGCUACGUUUUCAUCUAACAAUACUGGGAGAACAAAAUACGACUCAAUGGUGAAAUGUCUUCUGGGUUAUCUGAUGAAGUUUUAUCUUUAAAUAUUUUGUUAUCCAUUUUUGGCAUUGCUGUGAAUUUGGGACUGUUGCCACCAAUUCUGAGGGAUUUUAAACUGUGCUUUUAGAGUUUGUGAGAACCAAGCCUCAAGGGAUGCAUGAGACAGUUGAAGCACUGUAGUCUUGUUGGUCUCUCUUUGACAUUUCAUGUCUCUGGCAUAUCUGAAUUUAGGUUGGGAACUGGAGGUUGGGAACUGGGAACUGGAUUACUACCCUUUAUAAUCUGGCCAGUUCCAUACUCAGGGAAAACAAUUUGUUCCUAGAUGGCUGCAGCGUUUCAUUUAGAGUUGAG
rnacentral:sRNA from 1 species